GGGGUCAUGGCUCAGAGGUAGAGCACAUGCCUAGCAUGCGUGAGGCACUGGGUUCGAUUCUCAGCACCA
rnacentral:tRNA from 1 species